rnacentral:rRNA from 1 species
AUUGAACGCUGGCGGCAGGCCUAACACAUGCAAGUCGAGCGAGCGGCGGACGGGUGAGUAAUGUAUGGGGAACUGCCCGAUGGCGGGGGAUAACUCCGGGAAACGGUGGUUAAUACCGCAUACGAUCGGGUGAACCCCCAUGGGAUUAGCUAGUAGGUGGGGUAAAGGCUCACCUAGGCGACGAUCCCUAGCUGGUCUGAGAGGAUGAUCAGCCACACUGGAACUGAGACACGGCCCAGACUCCUACGGGAGGCAGCAGUGGGGAAUAUUGCACAAUGGGCGAAAGCCUGAUGCAGCCAUGCCGCGUGUAUGAAGAAGGCCUUCGGGUUGUAAAGGACUUUCAGCGGGGAGGCGUUACCCGCAGAAGAAGCACCGGCUAACUCCGUGCCAGCAGCCGCGGUAAUAC